rnacentral:rRNA from 1 species
UACCUGCAGCUCGAGUGGUAGCCGCUAUUAUUGGGCCUAAAACGUUCGUAGCCGGUUUAAUAAAUGCCUGGGUAAAUCGUAUGGCUCAACUAUACGAAUUCCGGGUAGACUGUUAAACUUGAGACCGGGAGAAGUCGGAGGUACUCCUGGGGUAGAGGUGAAAUUCUGUAAUCCUAGGGGGACCACCAGUGGCGAAGGCGCCUAGCUAGAACGGGUCUGACGGUGAGGGACGAAGCCCUGGGGCGCAAACCGGAUUAGAUACCCGGGUAGUCCAGGGUGUAAACGCUGCUUGCUUGAUGUUAGUUGGGCUCUGAGCCCAAUUAGUGUCGGAGAGAAGUUGUUAAGCAAGCUGCCUGGGAAGUACGGUCGCAAGACUGAAACUUAGAGGAAUUGGCGGGGGAGCACAGCAACGGGUGGAGCGUGCGGUUU